rnacentral:rRNA from 1 species
GAUGAACGCUAGCGACAGGCUUAACACAUGCAAGUCGAGGGGCAGCGGGGGAGAAAGCUUGCUUUCUCCUGCCGGCGACCGGCGCACGGGUGAGUAACACGUAUGCAACCUGGCCGUCACAGGUGGAUAACCGGAAGAAAUUCCGACUAAUACAGCAUAACACUCCUGAGGGACAUCCUUCGGGAGUCAAAGGAGGCGACUCCGGUGACGGAUGGGCAUGCGGCGCAGUAGGUAGGUGGUAGGGUAACGGCCUACCAAGCCGACGAUGCGUAGGGGUUCUGAGAGGAAGGUCCCCCACAUUGGAACUGAGACACGGUCCAA